rnacentral:lncRNA from 1 species
AAGAAAGCCAGAUGAGAACAAUAAAACGGCUGUGAAACGCCGCUUCGAUCGUUAAAGGACACUGUUAACCUUUAUCGAUAUUUUGUCGCUGGCGCCUGAAGUUUUCAAACACGGACAAUUAAGCAGUUGCAGAAUUAUUUUAAAAAUCGUCGUUUAAGUGUUUGGAUACAAAAACGUACACCAUGCUUGAAAUGUUUUUGAGAUUACUGCUAGUGUUUGCAGCUUUGUGGAUGGUAGCAAACGCGUACGGUAGUUACUAUGAUUAUGGUGGUGAUGACGAUUGGGGGGACAGCUAUGGUAGCUAUGAUGGAUACGGUGACUACGGCGGAUAUGAAGACUGACCAGACACUUACUAGACCAACUGAAUCUAAAACGGACAGGGAUUGAAAUUUGAGACAUCUUGGAAAUGACUUGGCAUAAUGAAUGAACUUUAAAUCACGAGUGCCACUUUUAUGUAUUAUUAACAUAUAUUGAAAUAAAAAGAUAAUUAACUUA